UACAGAGGUCCCAAGCGUUGUUCGGAUUCAUUGGGCGUAAAGGGUGCGUAGGCGGCCUGCUAAGUCGGAUGUGAAAUCCCUCGGCUCAACCGAGGAACUGCAUCCGAUACUGGCGGGCUUGAAUCCGGGAGAGGGAUGUGGAAUUCCAGGUGUAGCGGUGAAAUGCGUAGAUAUCUGGAGAACACCGGUGGCGAAGGCGGCAGUCCGUGGACCGGU
rnacentral:rRNA from 1 species